rnacentral:other from 1 species
AACGGCCUGGGGUGUGCGAUAACUUGCUAUUUUGAACCUACAUUUAUUUAUCAUGGGAUCCCGGAUAAUGAAUUGGAUGUCAAGCCCUCAUGAAGGGACGGCAAAAGGUUCGUUGAGGGAACCCACCUAGCUUCGCUAGGCGUCAAAACUGCGAGACCGGCAUUCCGGGCAUUAC